CAUGAAGCUGGAAUCGCUAGUAAUCGCAGAUCAGAAUGCUGCGGUGAAUACGUUCCCGGGUCUUGUACACACCGCCCGUCACACCAUGGGAGUUGGAAAUGCCCGAAGCCAGUGACCCAACCGUAAGGAGGGAGCUGUCGAAGGUGGAGCCGAUGACUGGGGUGAAGUCGUAACAAGGUACC
rnacentral:rRNA from 1 species